rnacentral:rRNA from 1 species
AUGAACGCUAGCGGCAGGCCUAACACAUGCAAGUCGAACGGUAACAGGGAAAAGCUUGCUUUUCCGCUGACGAGUGGCGCACGGGUGCGUAACGCGUAUACAAUCUACCUCUUACAGGGGGAUAGCCUUUAGAAAUGAAGAUUAAUACCCCAUGGCAUUAUAAACCGGCAUCGGUUUAUAAUUAAAGUUUCGGCGGUAGGAGAUGAGUAUGCGUUCUAUUAGCUAGUAGGUGUGGUAACGGCACACCUAGGCAACGAUAGAUAGGGGCCCUGAGAGGGGGAUCCCCCACACUGGUACUGAGACACGGACCAGACUCCUACGGGAGGCAGCAGUGAGGAAUAUUGGACAAUGGGCGGAAGCCUGAUCCAGCCAUGCCGCGUGCAGGAAGACUGCCCUAUGGGUUGUAAACUGCUUUUGUACAGGAAGAAACCUUUCCACGUGUGGAGAGCUGACGGUACUGUAAGAAUAAGCAUCGGCUAACUCCGUGCCAGCAGCCGCGGUAAUACGGAGGAUGCAAGCGUUAUCCGGAAUCAUUGGGUUUAAAGGGUCCGUAGGUGGAUUGGUCAGUCAGAGGUGAAAUCCUGCAGCUCAACUGUAGAACUGCCUUUGAUACUGCCGGUCUUGAAUUAUUGUGAAGUGGUUAGAAUAUGUAGUGUAGCGGUGAAAUGCAUAGAUAUUACAUAGAAUACC